GUGCUCGCUUUGGCAGCACAUAUACUAAAAUUGGAACGAUACAGAGAAGAUUAGCAUGGCCCUUGCGCAAGGAUGACACGUAAAUUCCUGAAGUGUUUAAUAUUUUU
rnacentral:snRNA from 1 species